GUUGGCCAGACUGUCCUUUCUUCUAGAAUAGCCUCCACUGAAAAUAGUAAUACUACUACUACUACUUAAAAAAACCAAACCAACAAAACCCAGCACUUUAGAGUGCACUCAUUGAGAUUUUUCUGAAGAAAUUGAAGUGGUCAAAGCUUGCUGGCCAACAAUGCACUCCAGCCAGGAAUAACAGAAUAGGACUCCAGCUCUUUUUUUUUUGUCGUUUUUUGGAAGCAGGGCCAUGAUCAAGAGCAACAGCUGGGGGCAUUCAUAUUGUGCCACUUGAACUGGAAUUCUUGGACCAGUGCAAGAUGAACUAAAGCAAAAGCAUUUGCCAAGAAUGUUUUCAUUAAUCAA
rnacentral:ncRNA from 1 species